GGAUGCGAUCAUACCAGCACUAAAGCACCGGAUCCCAUCAGAACUCUGAAGUUAAGUGUGCUUGGGCGAGAGUAGUACUAGGAUGGGUGACCUCCUGGGAAGUCCUCGUGUUGCAUUCC
rnacentral:rRNA from 2 species